rnacentral:rRNA from 1 species
CCUACGGGAGGCAGCAGUGGGGAAUAUUGGACAAUGGGCGAAAGCCUGAUCCAGCAAUGCCGCGUGAGUGAUGAAGGCCUUAGGGUUGUAAAGCUCUUUUACCCGGGAAGAUAAUGACUGUACCGGGAGAAUAAGCCCCGGCUAACUCCGUGCCAGCAGCCGCGGUAAUACGGAGGGGGCUAGCGUUAUUCGGAAUUACUGGGCGUAAAGCGUACGUAGGCGGUGGUUCAAGUCAGAGGUGAAAGCCCGGAGCUCAACUCCGGAACUGCCUUUGAAACUAGAUCGCUAGAACAUCGGAGAGGUAAGUGGAAUUCCGAGUGUAGAGGUGAAAUUCGUAGAUAUUCGGAAGAACACCAGUGGCGAAGGCGGCUUACUGGACGAUUGUUGACGCUGAGGUACGAAAGCGUGGGGAGCAAACAGGAUUAGAUACCCUGGUAGUCCACGCCGUAAACGAUGAUAACUAGCUGUUGGGCCUCAUAGAGGCUCAGUGGCGCAGCUAACGCAUUAAGUUAUCCGCCUGGGGAGUACGGUCGCAAGAUUAAAACUCAAAGGAAUUGACGG